CAAUGGGCCAUCUUUCUUCACAACUUGGACUCGUGUGGAACCCUCUAAUUUCUUGGAAUCUUUAUUCUUAAUCUUUUUCGAGUGUAUUUUGGAUAGUUCAUAUUCAUAUAUGAUAGACUUCACAAAAAUAUAAUCCUUCCACACAUGUGAGUAUAGUUACUUAAUACAUUAUUCUAUUCUCGUUUGAUGUUUUCUCAUAUAAUAAAUUAAGGCAAAGGAAUCAUAUACCAUUCAUGUGUUUCACAAGUCACGUUAUUCAGUACAUACUUAUUUUGGUAUUUUUAUACUUUUCAAGUUAUGUAAGGCCAUUUUCAAUAUUAAAUUUCUCUGUCAACAAUUUUAUAUUCUUUUAUCUUUUCAAUUUUCGUCGUCUCCCUUUCAUUUUCCUCCAUUUUUAUUAUCACCGAAAUUUGGGCCCAGUUUGAUUUUUUUAAAAUUUUUUUUCUUGGUUUUAGUAUUUUUCUCUUAAUUUGAUACAAAAUUUCUACUUUUCCAGUUUUUUCUAAUGAGAGAGAUAUGAAAAUGUCAAAAAUAUGUUAAAAUUUGAAAAAAUAAUAUGUUAUAAACAAAAAAAUUAGCUAAUUCGUCGAGUAUUUUUUUUAAUCUUUAGAGAUUUUUUCCCCCAAAUUAGAUGAUUUUUUUUAGUAUCUUUUAGAUUCCUCUCAUCAAGAUGAAUUAGAAAAAUAUAAAAUUUUGAUCAAAUACUAAAAAAAAGUUCACUACAUAAAAAAACUCAAAAACCAAAAUAAUUAUUUUUUAAAAAGAUAGGUCAAAUUGGGCGUAUUUUUUUAAUAUUUUUAAGCACGCAAAUCGCAUGGAUAUUAUUAUUUUUUAUAUAACCGAGUGUCUAGACUAACUUGCAUACACCUCAACUAAUCAUGAGAUCUCAAAGUUAAACAACUGGGCAAACCUCCAGACCCCAAAUUUGGAACGAUUAACCUUCUUAAGAUUCGUACGAACACUGUGUCUGGUGACCUAAGAUUGAUGGUGACCUUGAAGCAGUUGUUGUUCCCCAAUUGUAUUUUACUAGAGCCUAGAGGGACAAAAAAAUUCAAUAAGACGCACGUUUUGUGAGAGAAAGUAAACUAAUGGGAGAGAAAAAAAUUGGGAGAGAAAAAAACAUUAUUGUGAGGUAGGAAAAUUGAAUGACUGUUUUUUUAAAAUCAAAAUAAAUUAAUGGUUCUCAAAUUAUUACUAAAAUAGGUUUUUUCUAAUAGAAACUAUAACAAUUCAAUCGAUAUGCCAACUAAGGUUUAAUUAAUUUCAUAAGUGAAAUCUAUAAAAAAGAUAAAUCGAUUUUUUAAGUCGAUCUUAUGCAACUAAAUUCAAGCAAUGUCAUAACAUAUGAUACUUUUUAUUUUAUUUUUUUGUCAAAUUAUUGUAUAAUUUGUUGGGUAUUUUUUUAAUGCCUUUAAAAUUAUCUGUGCAUAAUACGAGUAUUAUGCUAGUAUAAUGAAUUAUAAUUAGAAAUGUCAAUCAAGACAAAAUUAUUUAAAGGUUUUAUCCUAGCUUGGAUAGUAGCUUCAUAUUUUAAUGGUGUGAAUCUGUUUUUUGGCAUCUUUGCUUGCAUAGCCCUAAUGUACAAGACGUUGAACUGUCCUCAUCAGGCAAGUGAAUAAGUUUUUGGAAAGUGUCAACUAGUCACCCUAUCUAUAACCACAAAUAAUUAAUUAGAGAAUUGAUCAACAACUAUUAUGAAUAUAAUUAGAAAGAUGCUCCCUAAUGUCCCCAUGUUAAUCUCUUUAGCUGUGUUUGGUUCUUGAAAUUUGAAAAAAUAAAAGAAUAUCUUAACAAAUUUAUUUUAUUUUUUUCUUCGAAACAUUAAACAAUCCAAAAAUUUAUGCAAAAAUUACUGUUAGGUUUGUUAUCUACAUAAAAAAAUUAUUUAUAAUGACUCACGUAGAGAGUCCAAGAUAGCCUCACAAAAGAGUUACCGUCAUGACCCAAAAUCAUAUGCUUGACAUUACCUAUUCAUGGAUGCGAGACUAAGGCUCCGUUUGGUACUAGUUUUUUUUUAAGUUUAUAAGCAAAAAAUAAAGAGUUGAUUUUUUUAUUAUUUUUAUGUAUUUUAGCUAAAGUUGUAAAGCCAAAAAAAAAAAAAAAAAAAGCAAAAAAAAUUAAUUUUUGAUAGAAACUUAAAAAAACUUGUUUUGUAAGCAAUUACCAAACGGAGCCUAAGUGUUCACAUUAUUCAUGUUUAAUUCAUGAUAAUACAUUGGGGAAGAAAAGAGAAAUUAUAUUAAAAUGUGAAUCAUGUGGUUCAAUGAACUUGACACUUGACAGCCCACAUUUCUCCCUUGAGGGUUCGGUUGACUGGAGGAUAUGAGAGGGGGAUAACUUUUAGAGGAGGAUAAAUUUUAGCGGGGAUAACUUUUAACUUUGUUUAAUACUUUUUAGAAUAAAGGAUAAGGUAGAGGAUAAGGAAAGAACAAUAUAUAGAGAGAAACAAAUAUAAAAAUUUAGUUAUAAAAAUAUAUAUUUUAUUUUUCUCUCUAUAUAU
rnacentral:lncRNA from 1 species